rnacentral:lncRNA from 1 species
GUCAAAAACUGAGGAGGCCUUUCCUGGGGGGCCGCUGGGAGCCUUGAGAGCCAUGUGCAAGAGGACAGAUCCUGUUCCUGUCACCAUUGCUCUCGAUUCACUCAGCUGGCUGCUACUUCGCCUUCCUUGCACCACACUCUGCCAGGCCCUGCAUGCUGUGAGCCAUCAGGACUCUUGUCCUGGUGACAGCUCCUCAGUGGGGAAAGUGAGUGUGCUGGGCUUGCUACAUGAAGAGCUUCAUGGACCAGGCCCUGUAGGAGCUCUCAGCAGCCUUGCUCAGACUGAGGUGACCCUGGGCGGUACCACGGGCCAGGCCUCGGCCCACAUCCUGUGUCGGAGGCCCCGACAGCGCCCAACUGACCAGACUCAGUGGUUCUCCAUCCUUCCGGACUUCAGCCUGGAUCUCCAAGAGGGGCUCUCUGUAGAGUCCCAGCCCUACUCCGAUCCUCAUAUACCCCCGGUAUCUAAGAAUGCCAAGGCCAGAACAAGGAAAUGUAGUUUAGUGUCUGGUCAAGGGAGAGAAAAUAAAAGCUGCAGAGGUUGGGGGUGGGGUCAGGGAUUCUAGGGAUGGGGCAGAGUGGCAGCAUCCUUUGUACCUACAGGUGGAUCCCACAACUCAUUUGACCUUUAACCUUCACCUGUCCAAGAAAGAGAGAGAAGCCAGAGAUAGCCUGAUCCUGCCCUUCCAGUUCAGUUCUGAAAAGUAAGGUUGGGACCUGGGUACGUGGAUCCCUGAGUAGAGCCCAGCAUCUGGGCCGUGGAGAGGUGGGGCAACAGGUUAUUGAUUAACCUGACUUUAUAGGGACUGAAGUCCACCUCCAGAGACAAGUCCAAGUUCUUGAUCCACCCAUUCCCCCUAUAAUGGCAGAGGACCUUUAUGUCUCUUUUCUCUCCCUUAGACCCUUGGGUCACAGCUCCAGUUGUCCCCAGAGCACCCUGGGCCUGGGCUGAGCCAGACCAGACCCUUGGGAGGUGGCGCUAUCCCUAGGCAGUGGUGCUAGGAGGACAGAAGGCUAUAUGGGCGUGGCAAAGGCUGGUUAACAAGGGCUUAGUACAUGCCUGCUGUUCUGUGCCCAGUAUGUGGGCGGAUGAAGCAAGACUACAAGAUCCUUGCCCUCAAGCUGCUAGGAACUUCCGG